rnacentral:rRNA from 1 species
GACGAACGCUGGCGGCGUGCCUAAUACAUGCAAGUCGAACGCAGUGGGGACGGGUGAGUAACACGUGGGUAAACUCCCAUCAGAGGGGAUAACACUUGGAAACAGGUGCUAAACCGAUACUGAUGGAUGGACCCGCGGUGAAUUAGCCAGUUGGUGAGGUAACGGCUCACCAAGGCCACGAGGCAUAGCCGCCCGUGGGGGGUGGUCGGCCAACCUGGGACGGAGACAGGGCCCAGACUCCUACGGGAGGAAGAAGUAGGGAAUCUGCGGCAAUGGACGAAAGUCUGACCAAGCAACGCCGGGUGAGUGAAGAAGGUUUUCGGAUCGUAAAACUCUUUUGUUAGAGAAGCGGUAUCUAACCAGAAAGCCACGGCUAACUACGUGCCAGCAGCGCGGUAAUUC